AAUGGUGUUACAGCUACAAUUGAUGUCACUUAGAUGUAAUCCCACCGGCGAAAAAAGAACGUGGAAGCAGCUGAAGAUGAAAUAUAAAAACAUUGUUCAAGGUAAGCCCUCGGCAUAACAGUCAGGGUGCCUCUUUUUAAUCAUGUUUACCACUAAAUAUCAUUCAGCGGCUGUUUCAGUGUGCAUUAUCUCCAACAUAAUAUUGUUUUCACACACAUAAAUGUCCUCGCCUGUAUACAGUUAAAUCAGACAUAUGAAAAGCAACAUCUAACUUCUACUCAGCCAACAGAAAGCGGGCAGAUGCCCGCAAAACUGGCGGAGGACCACCCCCACCACGUCUGACCGAGGCAGAGGAGCUGGCCAUGAGUCAGACUGUCGGGAGGCCAGUCGCAGAGGGGAUCCCUGGAGGAACCUCAUCCUCGGACAUGAUUACACAGGAGCCACCAGCCUUGAUAAGAUGCAAUAGGCCUAGGCCUCAAACUUCUUUUGGGCCUAUAGUCCAAUGUUAAUUUCCCUUUCAUGUGUUUUUCUUUUGUCUCAACAGAUUCUGAAGGCGUACUUGGUCUAGUGGAUCCAUGUGCCACUUUAACUGAUGAUGAAGAUGAUGGGACCACAAUGUCUGCUGCCUUCUCUGUGGUGUCUGAGAGGGAGCCUGAGAGGCCUACAGAGAGCAUGGCUGGGCAGCAGGAAGAGGGUCCCUCAACCUCCACAGCACAGAUUGACACAGUGAGAUAUUCAGUAAAUUCCAGAGGUUAAUUCAGUGGAAUUCAUGUGCAACUGUAUAAUGUCAUCCUUAUGUGUUCCCAGCUACCACUAAAAGAAAUCUACAAAGUGCAUUUAUU